CUGUCGGCACAUCCCGGCUCAGAUUCUGGUCAACCUGGAACGAAAACAAAUAAAAGUGCUUUGUCAUGAGAUGUACUGAGACAAAAGAAAAAAACAGCCAAGGACCCAUGCCAGCCCAGGACACACAGCAGAUAACAGCCCAAUAAAAAGUACAGUAUGCAAGCUACCCUUCAAAAGUUUGGGCCAUCCCUCAAGUCGACUGGCCCACCAGAAGAGGCCCCGCUGCUCCUAACGCCCAGUCUAUCUCUGGCGAUGCGAGAAGAACACCGGGAACGUUCACAGAGUGUAGCUGUGCAGAAUUCACAUCCCUCCUCCAUCACACCAAUACACCCACAGACCCCGAGCUGCUGCUGCUCCUCCUGCCUGCCUUCUUAAGGAAUUCUCUGUGAUUUCCGUGCCAGCUCAGCCAGGGCAGCAUGGAUGACUCAUCUCCAUGAUAGACUCACUGGAGAGAUGUGGCACAAAGACUUGGGGCAAGCGUCGUCUCUCAGGAGAUCAGCCUGCCAAAACCCACAGGCUUUCUUAUGUAUCCUGAUCUGAUGUGUAUUGUGACCAGCCUAAAUUAAAUUAAAUUAAGCUUCUGCAAGAACCAGUCAGGCAAGUAUGGUUGAGCUACUUACCAUAUUUAAGUGCUCUAUGUACAUUAGCAGAUCAAUGUUUAUAUGUGAAUAGAAGUUCAAUUAAAUCUGUUCAUUACAUUGAACUUCUCUUCAGAAGACUGGGAUUAAACCACUGAUUCAUAUGGAUUUAUUUUACAAUCUUUUUGAUUAACAUUUUGAAGUGUUUUGGGUGUACACACUUUCAAUGGAGCGACAGAAAUCUCUGAAAUGUGUAACAUAUUAUUGAAAAAUGUCUCAAUUUUUAAUUUUUUUUUCAUAUAUUAAAAGUCAGAGGGAUCCAAUAUUGUUUAGACCCCGAUCUUCUUUUGUGUUAUACCAGUCAUACAGGUUUGGAACGACAUGAGGUUAAGUAUAGUGAACUAUCAAUUUAAGGACAUCAGACAAGGCUUUUGUUCUGGUUAAUGCAAAAACCUACAUUUUGAAGUCCUAUUGCUAUUGUCUGCGAUCACAAUUCACGUCGUCUUCGUUUAAUUGUAAGUCUGUGUAAAAACACUCGUGUUUCCCUUGUCUUUGAUCAAGUAUUCAGUUUAUUUCAUGAGUUCAGUUUCGACGCUACAGACAGAAGCAGUAAGAGCUAAUAUGUAGGGAUAUAUGCAAAGAAGAAGUUAUGUAAGUGCAUGCAGUGCAAUUGUGCACCAACAUCUGUGUUUUCUAAAUAAAUUGCUUUCUAAUUUGCAUCAUUUAGAUGUACUCUAGAACCAUGAGGGUUAUGUAUACACAGACUGAUUAAAACAAGAAACACCUGGUACAUUUCAGGGAGGGAUUGUGAACAUUACAGUUAUGUAUUUGCCAGAUUUAUCAGUUGUUUUAUCAGUUUUGUCUUCGGCUCCUCCAAACGAGGAAAUGAACUGAACUUGAAGGCUUGCAUUAAAAAAAAAAAAACAUUACAGAUGUCUGAUUCUUCACUCACUUUUGUAACUCCAAAAUGGACGUUAUGUCACACAUGAUGACAUAUUAUGAAGAGAGAAAAAAAAUCAUU